CUUCAACGUUCUUCAUGUUAAGAAUCAAGGACAUUAUUUAGUUGACAGUCUAAAGAUGGAUACUUCUCUAGGCUUAGUGAUGAUGAUUCUCCCGAUACUUGGAAGAACUCAAGGAAACUCAGUGACACAGACCGAAGGUCAAGUGAUCUUGACAGAGGGGGCUUUGCUGACUAUAAACUGCAGUUAUUCAACCACAGGGUACCCUUCUCUGUUCUGAACUGCUAUAACAAAUUGCCAGGCUGUGUAUUUCAAGCAACAGGAAUUCGUUUUCUCCCAGUUCUGGAGUCUGCAAGUACAAGAUCAAGUUUUCUGCAGGAUCCUUUCUCUUGAG